GGCUGCUCGGGACAGAGUCUGCCACUGAUCACACAGCGAAGCUGCCGCCUCAGUUACGGCCGUGCAGCAGUGAGCAGUCUCUUUUGAUGUACAUUCUGAAGAGCUUACACAACAGGACAGGGAUUUUUAGCACACUUCAGUUCUUUCCUGAAACAGCAGUGCUAAUGAGACUUGUCUUCCCAUGGAUUAUGUCUCAUGUUUCAUUGCAGAGCUCACCUGAACCCUUUUCCAUAGACAAGUCACACAUUAAUAGACACAGAAGUCCAUGAAGUCUUUUCCAAAUGGCAUUGCUCCAUAACAGCAAAUAAAAGUCUGGCUCAAGAAUAGCUGUACUUGUAUUUGAGUUCUCUCCCCAAGGUGUAUGCCUUACUUGCUUAGAAGCCUGUCCCUUCCCUGUCACCUUCUAUGCGUCUCGUAUUUUGUUGGCAGUGCUGAACACUCCGAGACUCAUCAAUGCUAUGCAACAAUUCCAAGCGAAGUCUGUCCUGAACUCCUCCGUGGCUGAGAGCUGGCAGGGGAUGCGCCAUACAGAAGGCUCUCUGAGCUGUCCUCCCCUUGACUCAGGAUUUGGUCUAUGACUGCUGAUAAGCCGCAACCGUAAUCAGAGAAGCCUGAUUAAGAUCACCAGUUUGGCAAGAAAUGAAAGACUUUACAUCUGGUAUUUGCAGAUAGAACCUGGCAGAGCUGGCUUCCUCAAGUCCAUACUGAAAGACAGUAGGUACUGUUGUUUAUUAUCCGCUUGUAUAGAGGUGAGUUUCAGGUGUGAGGUGGUAUUGGU